ACCACAUCUAAGGAAGGCAGCAGGCGCGUAAAUUACUCGAAUGGGAAAACCUUGAAGUAGUGACAAGAAAUAGUGAUGUUGCAAAUUUAUUUUGCGACAAUCACCAUGAGAGUGUUGUAAAUUCACACUCGAGGAUCAACUGGAGGGCAAGUCUGGUGCCAGCAGCCGCGGUAAUUCCAGCUCCAGUAGCGUAUGUUUAAAUUGUUGCAGUUAAAGAGUUUGUAGUAGAGAUCUGGGUUGGUUGGAGAUUUGUGCUUCGACGACUCGGUCGCUGAAGCCACUCCGGCCAGCUCCAUCUGUUUUUGGGGCCGGCCUGGUGAUUCGUUUCAUUGAGUUUGCCUCGAAAUCUUUUACUUUGAAUAAAUUAGAGUGUUCCAAGCAGGCAUUUUUGCUACUGCAUAUUCAAGCAUGGAAUAAUACUAACAAGUGGCUGAGUUUUCCAAUGUUCGACUCGGUCACUCAAGCCUAAUAGGAAGGGCAGGGGGUGCUAGUAUUUCCGGGCCAGAGGUGAAAUUCUUGGAUUCCGGAAAGACUGACUAAAGCGAAAGCAUUCACCAAUUCCCUUUCCAUUUAUCAAGAACUAAAGUUGGGGGAUCGAAGACGAUCAGAUACCGUCGUAGGCUCAACUAUAAACUAUGUGAGGAAUUGAGUUGUGAGGGGUUACUUUUGAUUUACCUUCAUAACUCAACCCGAGAAAUCCCAACCUCACUCCGGGGGAAGUAUGGUCGCAAGGCUUAAACUUAAAGGAAUUGACGGGAGGGCACCACCAGGAGUGGAGCCUGCGGCUUAAUUUGACCCAACACGGGGAAACUUACCAGGUCCAGACACAGUUAGGAUUGACAGAUUGAAGUUCUUUCAUGAUUCUGUGGGUGGUGGUGCAUGGCCGUUCUUAGUUGGUGGUGUGAAUUGUCUGGUUUAUUCCGUUAACGAACGAGACUGCUCUAUGGGGGGGUUGGUACUUAGACUAGUGUGAGGAAUGGCUUCGUGUCAUUCCCCUCGCAUGAUCUCCAACUACUCUUGACUUCAAGUCAAUGGAAGCUCCCCGCAAUAACAGGUCUGUGAUGCCCUUAGAUGUUCUGGGCCGCACGCGCGCUACAAUGGUGAGGUUUGUAAUGUGUAUCUUUACAGUGGUUAAGAAGAGAUUUCACACUAUUCACCCAAAACUCACCGUGACUGGGCUCGAUGAUUGCAAUUCUUCAUCUUUAACGAGGAAUUCCUAGUAGACACAGUUCAUCAGAUUGUAUCGAUUACGUCCCUGCCCUUUGUACACACCGCCCGUCGCUGCUACCGAUCGAAUGUGUUGGUGAAUGUUUUGGAGAGCGACCGCACUUGCUGUGGUCGUUCAAAGAAACGUAAACCUACAUAUUUAGAGGAAGCAAAAGUCGUAACAAGGUA
rnacentral:rRNA from 1 species